GUGUGUUGUUGAUAGUUGCCCCACGUCUUUAUGGUUGACUUUCUCAUAAGCUGAAGUUGGUAUCUUUUUAAGGCGACUGCCGUGUGACUGAUUUUUUCUAGGAGCUAAGGUAGAACUUAUCUCUUCUUCUUUAAGGCCAUCUCCAACCACAACACCAUUUUGCACCAUUUUUUGGUGCAAAAUUGCUCCAACCCAACACCAAACUUUGCACCAUUUUGCACCAAAAUGGUGCAAGUGUAAAAUGCCAAUUUUGCCCUUAUUUUACAUUUCCCAAAUAAAUUUGUUGAGGGUAUUUAUGUAAUUUGUGCUAUAUAUUUUUUAAUACAAUAAAUUAUUAUUAUUUUUAUUAAUAUUAAUAAUUAUUUGUGUUUAAAAUAAAUUUUAAAUGUAAGACAUAAUAAUUAAUUAAUUAA
rnacentral:lncRNA from 1 species